UACGAAGGGGGCUAGCGUUGCUCGGAAUCACUGGGCGUAAAGGGUGCGUAGGCGGGUCUUUUAGUCCGGGGUGAAAUCCUGGAGCUCAACUCCAGAACUGCCUUUGAUACUGAAGAUCUUGAGUUCGGGAGAGGUGAGUGGAACUGCGAGUGUAGAGGUGAAAUUCGUAGAUAUUCGCAAGAACACCAGUGGCGAAGGCGGCUCACUGGCCCGAUACUGACGCUGAGGCACGAAAGCCAGGGGAGCAAACGGG
rnacentral:rRNA from 1 species